AUAAAUUCAAAUCAUCUUCAACAGAAAAGUAAAAAGCAUCGAUCUUUAAUGUAAGAGAAUGAGAAGGAGACCUGGAAUUGGCGGGUUACAAACCGCCGCUGCUGCUAGGGAUCAAUACCGAUUACUAGGUGAAAAUGUAGCCAAGUUAAGAACUGAUCUUAUGAAAGAACAGCUCUCCACUUUUCGUUCUCAGCUUCAAGAUUUUGCCCGUAAACAUAAGAAUGAUAUUCGAAAGAACCCGACUUUUAGAGCUCAAUUUCAUGACAUGUGUGCUAAAGUGGGAGUGGAUCCUUUGGCCUCUAAUAAAGGUUUUUGGGCGGAGCUGCUAGGGAUUGGCGAUUUCUAUUAUGAACUUGGAGUACAAAUUGUUGAAAUAUGCUUGGCAACAAGACCCCACAAUGGAGGUUUGAUCAACCUGCAGGAACUUUGCACUCUACUUCGCCAGAAACGAAAAAGUGACCGCGAAGCAGUUUCUGAGGAUGACUGUUUGCGUGCCAUAAGUAAGCUUAAGAUACUAGGGAGCGGUUUUGAGGUGAUUUCUGUUGGAAAAAGAAAGCUUGUUCGGUCUGUUCCAACUGAAUUAAACAAAGACCAUAAUGAAAUUUUAGAGCUGGCUCAGGCUCAAGGCUUUGUGACUGUUGAUGAGGUUGAGAGGCGACUUUCUUGGACAUCUGGUCGUGCCAUUGAUGCUCUUGAUACCUUAUUAGAUGAGGGUCUUGCGAUGAUUGAUGAUGGUCACAGUGAUGGAAAACGCCGCUAUUGGUUUCCUUGUGUCUCUUCCAUAUCUUCUUCAGUAGGGGCCUGAUAUGUAACACACAAGGCUUGCAUCACAUACAGACUGUACUUAUACACGGUAAAACACAAGACACAUUGCUGCAACUGCAAGUGCUUGAUACAGAGCCUUUAAUGGGUACCUUCCUUCUAAUAAUGGAUCUGCCAUUAAUACAAACUUCCUUUUGUCUUUGAAUAAUGGUGUUGCCUGCAUUGCAUGAAUAUGUAGAUAUACCAUCAAUUUUAUAGCAUAAUUCUGUAUGGAAAAUAGCAUGUAACAUGGUGCUUCUUACCCAAGUAACUAGAUUUUGUUCUUC